rnacentral:rRNA from 1 species
GAUGAACGCUGGCGGCGUGCCUAAUACAUGCAAGUCGAGCGAACAGACGAGGAGCUUGCUCCUUUGACGUUAGCGGCGGACGGGUGAGUAACACGUAGGUAACCUACCUAUAAGACUGGGAUAACUUCGGGAAACCGGAGCUAAUACCGGAUAAUAUUUCGAACCGCAUGGUUCGAUAGUGAAAGAUGGCUUUGCUAUCACUUAUAGAUGGACCUGCGCCGUAUUAGCUAGUUGGUAAGGUAACGGCUUACCAAGGCAACGAUACGUAGCCGACCUGAGAGGGUGAUCGGCCACACUGGAACUGAGACACGGUCCAGGCUUCUACGGGAGGCAGCAGUAGGGAAUCUUCCGCAAUGGGCGAAAGCCUGACGGAGCAACGCCGCGUGAGUGAUGAAGGUCUUCGGAUCGUAAAACUCUGUUAUUAGGGAAGAACAAACGUGUAAGUAACUGUGCACGUCUUGACGGUACCUAAUCAGAAAGCCACGGCUAACUACGUG